rnacentral:lncRNA from 1 species
CAACUUUAAUAUAUAAUAGGAGUUCUGUAUAAAAUAACUAAAUAAUUACAUCAUACGAAGACAACGAUCCAACAACCAUAGUUGACUGGGAGACGACGGCCUAGACCUCUCACGAACGCAUCGUGACAUCCUUCAUGCUCCUUAUCCCGCAGUACCUAUUCUUGAUCAGUACAGCAAGGGUGAGCUCACAUACGUUCAUCGAUCAACAAGUUGUGGAGAAUAAUGUGCAUGAGCUCACUUACGGUGGGGAUCAUGUGAAGUGUAAGGCUUACCAAAGAGGAUGGUUAAAGGUGAGCAUUGCUUUUAAAGUUGGUCAAAAUUUUAUUAGCAGUUACUAAGUAUAAGUGGAUACCAACCCAAAUAAAUAAGAGAUCACAAUUAAUAAUAACACCCACAAUGCAAUGCGAAUGACAAAUUAAGUUUAGUUCCAUAAAUUACUCAUUUGAGGGUCCACGCCGCUCAUGACGGUGAGCACGACUGAUAUACCAGUUUUACACUCUACAGAGGUUGCGCAUCUUUACCCACAAGUCGUGUUACCUCUACCGAGCAGGCGAGGCAGGGUAGCACUAUGAGGCCUUUCCAAAGUUCCACUAGUUCGAGAAAACCCGCUACGGAUUCAGGAAGAAGGAAGCAUAGGAAUCCCUUGUCCGAAAAGCUAUACAGACAUUUCGACCCAAGGACCUCCCUAUAAUCUGCAGCGACGCCUCCCCGCUUGCCCCUUUCGGGUAAGGUAAUCUCUCCCUAGCUUUCCUAAUUACUUGGCCAAGGGUGUCCCAUUCCACCCUUGUGGUAGCACUGUUAACCGGGUGGUUCUCCAUGUUCUAAUUAAUACAAUAAUCUUAUCAUGAUCAAUAAUUAAACAACAGUAUUAAUGGAACAUGAUCAUAUAUAACAUUAAUUUCCCAAAACCAGGUAGAGCAAUAGCAAAUCUACCAAAUAGUUCAUUUGUUUGCAAGGUGUGGGAUAAACAAUAAUAGGGAAACUUAUUAGGUCCCAUCAAAUUAACCUGAACAUGUCAUAUUGAUUAUUAGGUAAAGAAGAGUGAUCAAGGGUACAACUUGCCUUAGACUUGAGAUUCUAGGUACUUCACCAAAUUGGUCUUCGGUGACUCAAGAUCUCGCUUCUACUCGUAGCAAUACAUACAAAUAGACAAUAAGUACAUAAAAAUAACAGUGCACCAAACAUGAGGACGUAGGAAUAUUCUUUGCGAUGCUACGAGAUCGUAGGUUCGAGAAUUACUAAAAUUAGAGUUAUCAUUAAAAAGAUAUAGCUUUCUAAAGAUUCAAGUGAUUUUAACACAUAAAUUAUGUUCUAUGUUGUUUUUAAUAAAUCAUCAGAAAGAUAUUCCAAAAUAACUAAUUCAUUUUUACCCUAUAUUAUAACUUUAUUAGAAUCAUAUUUUAGUUUAAACUAUAGUCAUAGAUUUAUUUACAAUGUCAGAUUAACCCUUAUUAGAAAAGUCAAUCCAAUAAAUAAGUACUUAAUUAUUUCUAAAAACCCUAAACAAAAUGUUGUUAACAUGUAGACAAUAUUAAUACGAAGCUAACACAAUUGGAACAGAUUAAAUCAGAGCUACAACAUACAAGUUAUGGAUUAUCUAGGUUUUAUGGAUAUUCUAUUAUUGAUUUUAUACCUGAAAUAACUAAAAAAGGCUAAUAUAUAAACACCGAGGACCCGAUGCAAUUAUUCUCUACUAUUAAAGGAUGGCGGGUUAGUUUAGAACAUCUCCACAGGCUCUUUAUAAAGUUUGCCACGCGAAGGGGUAUAGGUGGAUUCUGGCCGCCGAGAUCAAGCUUCUACGGCUGAGAUUAAUUUGAUUGCGACCGAACCAGUAUCAAACGGCGGCUGUGAGAUCUGUGAUCAACAGUUGUACUUUAAAUGCCAAGAUCGGACUAUACGCGUCAGAUUCAAAUCGAAUAGUCAAUACUGAUUUAUCUGAACCGGUACCCAAGGAUCUAAUCGCAACCGCAUGUUGCGAGAUCAACGAUCCUCGCAUCAUCCGCUUUCUCUAGUCGCCCAGCGCGACGGCACCAGCGUCCGUCCGGUGGCAGGCUCGCCGGAGCCAACCCAUCCGGUGACCCGACGCACGAUUCUCCAUGCAGCCUAAUCCUACACAAAAUUGGAGAUCUACCAACUGCCUUAGGAUUAGCUUACCUAGAUUUAAGGUGGUGAUGAAGUCUUUCCAUGUGAGUGGCGGCACGGUGGUGGAAUUAGAUCUCCGUCGAGCAAUUCUAGUGACUCACCGCGCAGACCCGCGCAGAUGAAGCCUUGCACACGCUCUACGUAGCCUAGCGAAGCCUCCUGGCCCGACUCUGGGGCCCCGAUGGUUUUGAAGACGUGGGGCAACGACGAUGGCCCGAAGCUCUCCCGCUUCACACUCAGCGGCUUCCUAGGUCCCCACGACGAUGAUAGCGGCUCUCGGUCGACAUCACAGAUGGAGGAGGAGACGAGGUUGUGACCUCGCCAUUAACUCUACUAAUCCUUAAGACGAUAGUGUAGACUAGGCACAAC